rnacentral:rRNA from 1 species
GACGAACGCUGGCGGCGUGCUUAACACAUGCAAGUCGAACGGAAAGGCCCUUCGGGGUACUCGAGUGGCGAACGGGUGAGUAACACGUGGGUGAUCUGCCCUGCACUUCGGGAUAAGCCUGGGAAACUGGGUCUAAUACCGGAUAUGAUCAUCGGCUUCAUGGUCGGUGGUGGAAAGCUUUUGCGGUGUGGGAUGGGCCCGCGGCCUAUCAGCUUGCUGGUGGGGUAAUGGCCUACCAAGGCGUCGACGGGUAGCCGGCCUGAGAGGGUGUCCGGCCACAGUGGGAGUGAGAUACGGCCCAGACUCCUACGGGAGGAAGCAGUGGGGAAUAUUGCACAAUGGGCGCAAGCCUGAUGCAGCGACGCCGCGUGGGGGAUGACGGCCUUCGGGUUGAAAGCCUCUUUCAGCACAGACGAAGCGCAAGUGACGGUAUGUGCAGAAGAAGCACCGGCCAACUACGUGCCAGCAGCCGCCGUAAAAC